rnacentral:rRNA from 1 species
GAUGAACGCUGGCGGCGUGCCUAAUACAUGCAAGUCGAGCGAAUGGAUUGAGAGCUUGCUCUUAUGAAGUUAGCGGCGGACGGGUGAGUAACACGUGGGUAACCUGCCCAUAAGACUGGGAUAACUCCGGGAAACCGGGGCUAAUACCGGAUAACAUUUUGAACCGCAUGGUUCGAAAUUGAAAGGCGGCUUCGGCUGUCACUUAUGGAUGGACCCGCGUCGCAUUAGCUAGUUGGUGAGGUAACGGCUCACCAAGGCAACGAUGCGUAGCCGACAUGAGAGGGUGAUCGGCCACACUGGGACUGAGACACGGCCCGGACUCCUACGGGAGGCAGCAGUAGGGAAUCUUCCGCAAUGGACGAAAGUCUGACGGAGCAACGCCGCGUGAGUGAUGAAGGCUUUCGGGUCGUAAAACUCUGUUGUUAGGGAAGAACAAGUGCUAGUUGAAUAAGCUGGCACCUUGACGGUACCUAACCAGAAAGCCACGGCUAACUACGUGCCAGCCGCCGCAGUAA